rnacentral:rRNA from 1 species
CCGGGAACUGGGGAUAAUUCCGGAUAACGCAUAUAUGCUGGAAUGCUUUAUGCGUAAAAUGGAUUCGUCUGCCCAAGGAUGGGUCUGCGGCCUAUCAGGUAGUAUUGGGUGUAAUGUACCUACUAGCCUACAACGGGUACGGGUUGUGAGAGCAAGAGCCCGGAGAUGGAUUCUGAGACAUGAAUCCAGGCCCUACGGGGCGCAGCAGGCGCGAAAACUUUACAAUGCGGGAAACCGUGAUAAGGGGACACCGAGUGCCAGCAUCAUAUGCUGGCUGUCCAGAUGUGUAAAAUACAUCUGUUAGCAAGGGCCGGGCAAGACCGGUGCCAGCCGCCGCGGUAACACCGGCGGCCCGAGUGGUGAUCGUGAUUAUUGGGUCUAAAGGGUCCGUAGCCGGUUUGGUCAGUCCUCCGGGAAAUCUGAUAGCUCAACUAUUAGGCUUUCGGGGGAUACUGCCAGGCUUGGAACCGGGAGAGGUAAGAGGUACUACAGGGGUAGGAGUGAAAUCUUGUAAUCCCUGUGGGACCACCUGUGGCGAAGGCGUCUUACCAGAACGGGUUCGACGGUGAGGGACGAAAGCUGGGGGCACGAACCGGAUUAGAUACCCGGGUAGUCCCAGCCGUAAACGAUGCUCGCUAGGUGUCAGGCAUGGCGCGACCGUGUCUGGUGCCGCAGGGAAGCCGUGAAGCGAGCCACCUGGGAAGUACGGCCGCAAGGCUGAAACUUAAAGGAAUUGGCGGGGGAGCACAACAACGGGUGGAGCCUGCGGUUUAAUUGGACUCAACGCCGGACAACUCACCGGGGACGACAGCAAUAUGUAGGCCAGGCUGAAGACCUUGCCUGAAUCGCUGAGAGGAGGUGCAUGGCCGUCGCCAGUUCGUACUGUGAAGCAUCCUGUUAAGUCAGGCAACGAGCGAGACCCGUGCCCACUGUUACCAGCAUAUCCUCCGGGAUGAUGGGUACUCUGUGGGGACCGCCGGUGUUAAAUCGGAGGAAGGUGCGGGCCACGGUAGGUCAGUAUGCCCCGAAUUUCCCGGGCUACACGCGGGCUACAAUGAAUGGGACAAUGGGUCCCUCCCCCGAAAGGGGCUGGUAAUCUCACAAACCCAUCCGUAGUUCGGAUCGAGGGCUGUAACUCGCCCUCGUGAAGCUGGAAUCCGUAGUAAUCGCGUUUCAA